CCCUAUUAUUAAAAAUUUAAAUUUUGUUUUAGGUAGUAAAAGAUUUGUUCUGGAAACUUAAAAGAUUUGGCGGUGAUUUAUUUCUAUUUAGAGGAAUAUGUUUUAUAAUUGAUAAUCCACAAUUAUCUUACUUAGUAUAGUAAAUUCAUUUUGUAUAUCUCCGUCAAGAAUAAAUUAAAAAGUUUUAUUUCUAAUUUAAUUUUUUUUAAGAAGAUCAGGUCAAGGUGCAGAUUAUUACUAAGUUAAAAUGUAUUACAUUAAAGUUAUUUUUGGAUUUUUAUUUUAAAUAAUAAUAUGAAAUUGGAUUUAUAUGUAAAAUAAUAGAUUAUUUUUUUUUGAUCUAAUCCUUAAAUCAUGUACACAUCGCCC
rnacentral:rRNA from 1 species